CUCUGCAAGUGUAGCAAGUGCUCACCACUGAGCCAUCUCUCCAACCUACAUAUUUGUAUUAUUUAAAGAAGAAGUACAAAAGUGAGGCUGGAGAGAGAGUUCAGAGUGUGGAUUGCUCUUCUAAAGGACAACAGUU
rnacentral:miRNA from 1 species